rnacentral:rRNA from 1 species
UACAGAGGUCUCAAGCGUUGUUCGGAUUCAUUGGGCGUAAAGGGUGCGUAGGUGGCGCCGUAAGUCAGGUGUGAAAUCCCGGGGCUCAACCCCGGAACUGCACUUGAUACUGCGGUGCUCGAGUACUGGAGAGGAGAUUGGAAUUUACGGUGUAGCAGUGAAAUGCGUAGAUAUCGUAAGGAAGACCAGUGGCGAAGGCGAAUCUCUGGACAGUUACUGACACUGAGACACGAAGGCCAGGGGAGCAAACGGG